rnacentral:rRNA from 1 species
UAGGGAAUCUUCCACAAUGGGCGAAAGCCUGAUGGAGCAACGCCGCGUGUGUGAUGAAGGGUUUCGGCUUGUAAAACACUGUUGUAAGAGAAGAAUGACAUUGAGAGUAACUGUUCAAUGUGUGACGGUAUCUUACCAGAAAGGAACGGCUAAAUACGUGUCAG